rnacentral:rRNA from 1 species
GAUGAACGCUAGCGGCAGGCUUAACACAUGCAAGUCGAGGGGUAGAGGUUGCUUGCAACCUUGAGACCGGCGCACGGGUGCGUAACGCGUAUGCAACCUACCUUUUACAGAGGGAUAGCCCAGAGAAAUUUGGAUUAAUACCUCAUAGUAUAUAGUCUUCGCAUGUUGACUAUAUUAAAGUUCCAACGGUAAAAGAUGGGCAUGCGUCCUAUUAGCUAGAUGGUAAGGUAACGGCUUACCAUGGCAACGAUAGGUAGGGGUCCUGAGAGGGAGAUCCCCCACACUGGUACUGAGACACGGACCAGACUCCUACGGGAGGCAGCAGUGAGGAAUAUUGGACAAUGGGCGCAAGCCUGAUCCAGCCAUGCCGCGUGCAGGAAGAAGCAUCUAUGGUGUGUAAACUGCUUUUGUACGGGAAGAAACACUCCGACGUGUCGGAGCUUGACGGUACCGUAAGAAUAAGGAUCGGCUAACUCCGUGCCAGCAGCCGCAGUAAUAC